GGAGGGAUGACGGAGCGGUUGAACGUGACGGUCUUGAAAACCGUUGAGCCUUAACGGGUUCCCAGGGUUCGAAUCCCUGUCCCUCCG
rnacentral:tRNA from 1 species